ACAAGCGGUGGAGCAUGUGGUUAAUUCGACGCAACGCGAAGAACCUUGCCAGGGCUUGACAUCCCCUGACCGCGUAUGAAAGUACGUUUUCACCCUCGGGUGACAGGGAGACAGGUGGUGCAUGGUUGUCGUCAGCUCGUGUCGUGAGAUGUUGGGUUAAGUCCCGCAACGAGCGCAACCCCUACGUUUAGUUGCUAACGCGUGAAGGCGAGCACUCUAGACGAACUGCCGUUGACAAAACGGAGGAAGGUGGGAUGACGUCAAAUCAUCAUGCCCCUUAUGUUCUGGGCUACACACGUGCUACAAUGGCCGGUACAGACGGACGCAAAGCCGCGAGGUGGAGCAAAUCCGAAAAAGCCGGUCUCAGUUCGGAUUGCAGGCUGCAAUUCGCCUGCAUGAAGUCGGAAUCGCUAGUAAUCGCAGGUCAGCAUACUGCGGUCGAAUACGUUCCCGGGCCUU
rnacentral:rRNA from 1 species